UGUGUAUCAUAUGCCCACAAAGGUCAGAAGCUGGACCUCCUAGAACUGGAGUCACAGAUAGGCACCAAGGCUGCUGCAGAGUCUGUUGUUCUACCCAGCCUGUUCCGCCAGGCAGAAGUACUGACCUGAAGACUGGACCUGAGCAGAUUUUCUCUGGAAGAGGACUAAGGGAGGGGCUCUCCUGAGGCCUGGGCAGACCAGGUAUCUGAUUCUGAGGAUCCUUUCCUCAAGAUUAACAAACAUUCAAAUGCAGCCGCAUCCCUCAUUCAAUGAAACUCUUCUUUGGUUUACACUAAAGGGGCCUCUGUUGACUUGCUUUUGACUAUGAGUAACUCAUUUAAUCUAGAACUGGCUAUGACUAUAAUCAUGCUGUGGACUCUGGAGUGUUUGCCAAAAAUCCAGUUUAUAAAUUGUUUUCAAAUAUAAUGACAUCUGUAUGGGUACUAAAAUUAACAAAUAUUGAAGUUGACAUGUUAUUAUCUUUAAA